AGGUGCUGCAUUGGUUGUCGUCAGCUCGUGUCGUGAGAUGUACGGUUAAGUCCGUGAACGAGCGCAACCCCUGCCCUUAGUUGCUAAUAUGCGAAAGCAUAUGCACUCUAAGGGGACCGCCAGCGGAAAGCUGGAGGAAGGUGGGAUGACGUCAAAUCCUCAUGGCCUUUAUGUCCAGGGCUACACACAUGCGACAAUGGUCGAGACAACGCGUUGCAAACCAGUAAUGGUAAGCUAAUCGCAUAAAAUCGACCUCAGUACGGAUUGAGGGUUGCAAUUCACCCUCAUGAAGCUGGAGUUGCUAGUAACCGCAGGUCAGCUAUACUGCGAUGAAUACGUUCCCGGGGCUU
rnacentral:rRNA from 1 species